GCGGGGGAGGGGGAGUGCCGCAGGAGUGACAAUGGUGGAUGCCGAGCAAGGGAGAAAUGGAAACGGAGGUGACCAUAUGCUCAGUCGAAGAGAUGAUCUUUCCAUCCUACGUAUUUCUGGUGCUUUGGGA